GCCAACUAUCUCGCGAUGCAUCUAGAUUAGAGUUUGAUCCUGGCUCAGGACGAACGCUGGCGGCGUGCUUAACACAUGCAAGUCGAACGAUGAACCACUUCGGUGGGGAUUAGUGGCGAACGGGUGAGUAACACGUGGGCAGUCUGCCCUGCACUCUGGGACAAGCCCUGGAAACGGGGUCUAAUACCGGAUACUGAUCCUCGCAGGCAUCUGCGAGGUUCGAAAGCUCCGGCGGUGCAGGAUGAGCCCGCGGCCUAUCAGCUAGUUGGUGAGGUAACGGCUCACCAAGGCGACGACGGGUAGCCGGCCUGAGAGGGCGACCGGCCACACUGGGACUGAGACACGGCCCAGACUCCUACGGGAGGCAGCAGUGGGGAGAAAUAUCUGGACACACAACUGGGGGCGAAAGCCUGAUGCAGCGACGCCGCGUGAAGGAUGACGGCCUUCCGGUUGUAAACCUCUUUCAGCAGGGAAGAAGCGAAAGUGACGGUACCUGCAGAAGAAGCGCCGGCUAACUACGUGCCAGCAGCCGCGGUAAUACGUAGGGCGCAAGCGUUGUCCGGAAUUAUUGGGCGUAAAGAGCUCGUAGGCGGCUUGUCACGUCGGGUUGUGAAAGCCCGGGGCUUAACCCCGGGUCUGCAGUCGAUACGGGCAGGCUAGAGUUCGGUAGGGGAGAUCGGAAUUCCUGGUGUAGCGGUGAAAUGCGCAGAUAUCAGGAGGAACACCGGUGGCGAAGGCGGAUCUCUGGGCCGAUACUGACGCUGAGGAGCGAAAGCGUGGGGAGCGAACAGGAUUAGAUACCCUGGUAGUCCACGCCGUAAACGGUGGGCACUAGGUGUGGGCAACAUUCCACGUUGUCCGUGCCGCAGCUAACGCAUUAAGUGCCCCGCCUGGGGAGUACGGCCGCAAGGCUAAAACUCAAAGGAAUUGACGGGGGCCCGCACAAGCGGCGGAGCAUGUGGCUUAAUUCGACGCAACGCGAAGAACCUUACCAAGGCUUGAACAUACACCGGGAAAACCCUGGAGACAGGGUCCCCCCGUUGUGGUCGGUGUACAGGUGGUGCAUGGCUGUCGUCAGCUCGCGUCAUGAGAUGUUGAGAUAAGUCCCGCAACGAGCGCAACCCUUGUCCCGUGAUGCAAGCAGGCCCUUGUGUGUGCUGGGGACUCACGGGAGACCGCCGCGGUCAACUCGCAGCAAGGUGAGGAACGACGCUCCAAGUUCAUCCAAGUGGCCCCCCUAUAUGUCUUGGGCUGCACACGUGCUACAAUGGCCGGUACAAUGAGCUGCGAUACCGCGAGGUGGAGCGAAUCUCAAAAAGCCGGUCUCAGUUCGGAUUGGGGUCUGCAACUCGACCCCAUGAAGUCGGAGUCGCUAGUAAUCGCAGAUCAGCAUUGCUGCGGUGAAUACGUUCCCGGGCCUUGUACACACCGCCCGUCACGUCACGAAAGUCGGUAACACCCGAAGCCGGUGGCCCAACCCCUUGUGGGAGGGAGCUGUCGGAGGUGGGACUGGCGAUUGGGACGAAGUCGUAACAAGGUAGCCGUA
rnacentral:rRNA from 1 species